rnacentral:rRNA from 1 species
ACGGGUGAGUAACGCGUGGGAAUCUACCGUACCCUACGGAAUAGCUCCGGGAAACUGGAAUUAAUACCGUAUACGCCCUUCGGGGGAAAGAUUUAUCGGGGUAUGAUGAGCCCGCGUUGGAUUAGCUAGUUGGUGGGGUAAAGGCCUACCAAGGCGACGAUCCAUAGCUGGUCUGAGAGGAUGAUCAGCCACAUUGGGACUGAGACACGGCCCAAACUCCUACGGGAGGCAGCAGUGGGGGAUAUUGGACAAUGGGCGCAAGCCUGAUCCAGCCAUGCCGCGUGAGUGAUGAAGGCCCUAGGGUUGUAAAGCUCUUUCACCGGUGAAGAUAAUGACGGUAACCGGAGAAGAAGCCCCGGCUAACUUCGUGCCAGCAGCCGCGGUAAUACGAAGGGGGCUAGCGUUGUUCGGAAUUACUGGGCGUAAAGCGCACGUAGGCGGAUAUUUAAGUCAGGGGUGAAAUCCCAGAGCUCAACUCUGGAACUGCCUUUGAUACUGGGUAUCUCGAGUAUGGAAGAGGUGAGUGGAAUUCCGAGUGUAGAGGUGAAAUUCGUAGA